rnacentral:rRNA from 1 species
GACGAACGCUGGCGGCGUGCUUAACACAUGCAAGUCGAGCGGAAAGGCCACUUCGGUGGUACUCGAGCGGCGAACGGGUGAGUAACACGUAAGUAAUCUGCCCCUGGCUUUGGGAUAACCACCGGAAACGGUGAUUAAUACCGGAUAUGACCACUUCACGCAUGUGUUGUGGUGGAAAGUUUUUCGGCCAGGGAUGUGCUCGCGGCCUAUCAGCUAGAUGGUGAGGUAAUGGUUCACCAUGGCUUCGACGGGUAGCCGGCCUGAGAGGGUGACCGGUCACACUGGGACUGAGACACGGCCCAGACUCCUACGGGAGGCAGCAGUGGGGAAUAUUGGACAAUGGGCGGAAGCCUGAUCCAGCAACGCCGCGUGAGGGAUGACGGCCUUCGGGUUGUAAACCUCUUUCAGUACCGACGAAGCGCAAGUGACGGUAGGUACAGAAGAAGCACCGGCCAACUACGUGCCAGCCGCCGCCGUAAUAC